rnacentral:rRNA from 1 species
AUUGAACGCUGGCGGCAGGCCUAACACAUGCAAGUCGAGCGGAUGAAGGGAGCUUGCUCCUGGAUUCAGCGGCGGACGGGUGAGUAAUGCCUAGGAAUCUGCCUGGUAGUGGGGGAUAACGUCCGGAAACGGGCGCUAAUACCGCAUACGUCCUGAGGGAGAAAGUGGGGGAUCUUCGGACCUCACGCUAUCAGAUGAGCCUAGGUCGGAUUAGCUAGUUGGUGGGGUAAAGGCCUACCAAGGCGACGAUCCGUAACUGGUCUGAGAGGAUGAUCAGUCACACUGGAACUGAGACACGGUCCAGACUCCUACGGGAGGCAGCAGUGGGGAAUAUUGGACAAUGGGCGAAAGCCUGAUACAGCCAUGCCGCGUGUGUGAAGAAGGUCUUCGGAUUGUAAAGCACUUUAAGUUGGGAGGAAGGGCAGUAAGUUAAUACCCUGCUGUUUUGACGUUACCAACAGAAUAAGCACCGGCUAACUUCGUG